UACGUAGGUGGCAAGCGUUGUCCGGAAUUAUUGGGCGUAAAGCGCGCGCAGGCGGUCUUUUAAGUCUGAUGUGAAAGCCCACGGCUCAACCGUGGAAGGUCAUUGGAAACUGGAAGACUUGAGUGCAGAAGAGAAGAGCGGAAUUCCACGUGUAGCGGUGAAAUGCGUAGAGAUGUGGAGGAACACCAGUGGCGAAGGCGGCUCUUUGGUCUGUAACUGACGCUGAGGCGCGAAAGCGUGGGGAGCAAGCAGG
rnacentral:rRNA from 1 species